GCCGGGGUGGUGAAAUUGGUAGACACAGGGGAUUCAAAAUCCCCCGGCUUCACGGCCUUGCGGGUUCAAGUCCCGCCCCCGGUACCA
rnacentral:tRNA from 1 species